rnacentral:rRNA from 1 species
UACGGAGGGUGCGAGCGUUGUCCGGAAUCAUUGGGCGUAAAGGGCGCGUAGGUGGCCCGGUCAGUUCGUGGUGAAAGCGCGGGGCUCAACCCUGCGUCGGCCAUGAAUACUGCUGCGGCUGGAGCACUGUAGAGGCAGGCGGAAUUCCGGGUGUAGCGGUGGAAUGCGUAGAGAUCCGGAAGAACACCGGUGGCGAAGGCGGCCUGCUGGGCAGUUGCUGACACUGAGGCGCGACAGCGUGGGGAGCAAACAGG